CUCCAGCGGCAUGGCGGCGGGGCUCGGAGCGGCUCGGGACGGCGGCGGACACCGGGGCGGCGGCGCGGCCCAGUGACUCAGCCGCGACGGGCGGAAACGGCGGCCUCACUUCCGGCGCUGCCACCCGCUCUGCACCGCCCCCUUUCGGCCCGGAGGUGUGCGAGCUUUGUGCCGCGCCUCACGGCCGGGAAGUGCGCAUGCGUGGAGUGACAUGCGCGCGGUGCUGUGCUGGAGGGAGGAUUGCGGCAGUGCGCUUGCGCAGAACGGGCCGAAGCGGCCGCGCGCGGCCUGUAGGGGGUGCGCGUGCACAGCGCGUGCCGUGCGGGCUGCAGGGGCUGCGCGCGGUGUGUACGGAGUGCACGUGUACCGUGCGGGCUGCAGGCGCUGUGCACGGAGUCACGUGCAUUUCGCAGCCCGUAGGGGUGAUGCACGCAGUGUGCAGCAGCCCUUGUGGUUGCACGGCAGGAGCUGGCUGAAUGCUGCCCGGCUGCGUGAGGACGACUGCGUGGAGGUGUCCAAAAGGGAGGUGCACAGGGGCCUGGCACCCUGCUGCCAGGGGAAGCUCUUUGCACAGAACCCACGCCCCGAGCUGCAGGCUCACCCCAGCAAUCAAUCAGCUUUGCUUGGAGCCGUGCUGGGAGCCUCAGACUUCUCAGAUGUCUGUUUCACUUUAAUUGGUGCCCUUUAUUUAUUUAUCUGGACACUUUCGAGUCAGUACAUCCUCCUCUUUUAGCACACUGGGGACGCUGUGAAGAGCAACAUUUCAUUGAAGCCCCACAUUAAGCCUUUUGCAGCGUUAGGGUCUGUUAGUUGGGGUAUUCCAAACAUCAAGCCAGUUUAGGGGGAGUUGGAACCCGAGGGGGCCAAAACUAAACCUCAGCCUUAGUGAGAGGUCUGGGAAGCUGUUAGAACCUAAUAGUGAGGCACCACGGGGCAGGCAGGGUGGCCGUGGGGCUCCUCCUCUGCUCCAUCACCUGGGUGCAGUGUCUUUGGGCUGCUCCCACGCUGCUCCCAUACAGGCAUGUGAGAAACGCACACUGAAAUGAUCUAUGCUCGAACCUUAAAGGCCGCCUUUGAUUUCAGGUAUUACGUUCCAUCCCCCCCGUGUCAGAAUGCAGAGACCCCCUGCGGAUGGGUGUGAGGGUUCGGUGGGACACAGCAUGCAGGAUAGGCUCUGCUGCGUUUUAACAUAUCCUAUUGGUUGUAGGACCCCACAAGUCUUCAUUAAGUGAGCAGUGGUCUAUGAAGGUGUCAAAGUUGCAUGCAGCAGAAACGUGAAGCUUGCAGUAACUGGCUCAGGACAGGAAUGGAAGAUGAUGUGAUUACAUUUCAUCAGGUUUCCCAGUCUAUGAGAAGCACGAAUGAGCACCUCCAGCACCACAGGGUACCGUGGAUGGGGAGCUCCUCGCUGGGCACACCGCAGCAAAAACCUCCGGUUAGCCAAACUAUUGCUGUCCUUUCUAGCAGGCAGAUGGGCUCUGUCAUGCCGCAGCGCUCCAUGGAGCCCCUGUGCAUUGCAAACCAUCAGUACUAAUUACAGCACCUCCAGAUGUUUUGUGUGUGCUUCAGCCUUCAUUUAUUUGUUUUCUGUGCCGAGUUACUUGGGAUACUGGAAAUGUAAAUAAUGAAUAUGUGAUGAGCAGCAAGAAUGGAUAUUGCCCUGCUUUGCUGUUCCAAAAAAGCUAAUUAAGCCAAGCACGAGAAUAAAAGCUUCUUGAGCCUGCUCCAGCAUCAGCCAUAAAAGAGUACUCACGAGCAAAUAAUUAGGGCCAAUUAGAGAGCAGCACACAGAAAAGACCCCGGGAUUCUUGCAGUUAAAACGUUAUUACAGUGGAGCUUUGGAGAUGGGGAAACUGAGGCACCAAGCCUGGGCAGAGACAGCAGCUGGGCAGGGCUGGAGCUGCCAUAAAUCCCUGCACACACUGAUGUGUACGUGGCCUGCUGUCCCCUGGGGCUGAAGCUGCUGUGGGAUCACAGCCUGUGAGCUGUGGGUUUGAUUGUAUGAAUUAUGUGUGUGUAUAGAGACGUGUAUAGCUGUGUGCAUGUAUACGUAUGGUGUAUAUGGAUAUACUGUGAUGUGAUGUGCGCUCUUCAGAGUUUAAUGCUUUAUUUAGACCAAAUUAGCUUGCUUCACAGCACUUUGUUUAUCCAUUUUAAUAAAUCAGUUCUUUCAGCUAAAUCUCACUUUAAGAGUUGAUCAUAUCCAGAGCCUCCAAGAGAGCAGCAGAUAUAAAUAUUUGCUUUUACAACGGGAAAACUCUCCUGAGAAUGCUUUAGCAAACGGCUGCGGCCAUGCUCAGCACAGGGGCGCCGGUAGUUCUCUGUGUUAUUAAUCAGAAGCACAGCAGCACAAAGGUGGGGCUGCAGAUAAGAGGUCCCGGAGCAGUGGGGUGGAGGUGCACUGUGUGGCUCUGAGCUCCUACGUUCCCAGGGGGAGACCAAGCCUGGAUGUGGCGUCUAAGGGAAGUUAUGUUCUUCAUAUUGUGAAAUAGAAGAGUGGAAAAUGGGAAGGCCUUUUGUGGGGUGCCCAUGGGCAGGUGCUCCUGGAGCUCUCUAAAGCAAAAGAGUGUAUGGAGAUAUGGAGAGCCCUUUGGCUGCAAAGCCCAGCCUGGCUAAUGGGGCUCCCACUGUGCAGAACUGAAAUAUGCCAUCCAGUUCUUAGGGGAAAAAUGCUAUUAUCAGGUACUGGCUGUGAGUGCACCGAUAUUGCAGUGUGAUGGCUUGCAGAUGCUUUUGGAAAUAGCCCCAGCUCUCCUGUGACAUGUUCAUGGCCCUCAGCAUCCCUAGCUACCAGUUCCCCUUGUACUCAAAUGGGACCUGAAUUCCUAAAUAGCUGGAAGGAUCUGGGUUGGAAAUGUGUAGCUCUUCACUGUCAUGUCAGCAGGUGUGAGAAAAUGGGACACACACACACACACAGACACAAAGACAGGGCACCUGAGCUUUCAAAUGAAGUCGUCUGAAAUUGCUCUUAGCUAAUGAGCUUCCCCUGGCCACGGAGGACGGCAGUCUAAUAGGUGGCAAUCUGCAGGGGAAUGAGGGCAGCCUAGAUUUCAUAAAUAGCAUGACUGUAUGUAAAUGCAAAGAAUGGGGAGCUUGCUUCUUUUUUUUUUCAUCCUGAAGGAGCGAAGUUCGCCAACUCAGGUGGCAGCUCCCAGUGCCAACGUGCCAAGCUGACAGCUCCUGUCUGGCUGGGUUUGGCUAAGGAAGGCAGGUGGCUGCAGGGUGGCACCUCGCCUCGCCAGAGCUGUGCGUGCUGUUUGCAAAUACGGGCUGAGCUGUGUGCUGCAGAGCUCCUGACCUUGUCCUUCCCAUUGCUACGUCUCCCUGCAGAGCCUCUGCUCAUCUGGUUGUGAUUUAUCUGCGUGGCUCCGAGCCUGCGUGGCUUUUGGCUUCCUGAAAAAUAAGGCUCAGUGUACUGGAUGCUUCUCUGCAAAGUUCGGUGGCUUUUGGGCCAGUGUGCUGCCUGCAUAGGGCAUGUUUGACUGUGGCACCGGGCUGUACAGAGCCCUGAGGCCCUCUGAGCAAAGUUGACGCGGUGCCAGGAUCACUCACAUUCCACAGCUGUCAAGGGCUCUCUUGGCAAAGCCCCUCCGUACCAGCAUCAUCCCGGCUCCCCACCACCUGGCGCUCAUCCCCACCUGCAGCUGGAGCCGCGGGUUCCAAAUUCUGGGAGCAGGGGAAGGCAGCAGAGCGGGUGUGAAGGCUGCUCCCAGGUGCUGGCAACCUGCAUGCAGGCAGCGGGGGCACCACGGUAAGCAACCCAGCGGGGCCAGAUGGUGCGGGAGCAGGAUUUUACGGGCUCAUAGCUCCAGCCCUCAGGCUCAGUGGGUUUGUCAGAAAUGGUUAAUCACAUUCUGAAUAACCCCCCAACAGAAAAAAACACCAUUUUUUCCCCCAUGGCACUGCUGGAGCCCAUACAAAAAAUGAAAAAGGUUUGGAAACCAGGUUUACAUUUUUACUACUGGAAUUUGUACCAACUUGGUGUUUUCUUUCUUUGAGAACGUGAUGUGAGACCUUUGUGCUGUGCUGGCAAAGGGCACGGCGGAGGGGAGCACAAGAUACUCGUUCAUUUGCUGCCUGUCUGCUCUGAUUUCAGUGCUGCAGUAGGACGGGACACUGUGGUGUGAAGGACACAGCCCUGCUUGGGGUGUUUAGGAGCCAAUGCUCAAUGGGCCCAUCCAUUUGUUAAGGAAUUGCACAGGAAGAAGCACAGCAAUUCUGAUGGUCAAUGUCUUGAAUGCUCAUUGGGCAACAGGCAGAACUACCCUGCUUGAGUUAAUUUUCAGAGAGGCGAUGGCUGGUUGGUUAUACUUAGGGAUUAGCUCUUUACCAUUUGCUGAGCAAUGCAGAGCUUGCUGUACAAACAGUCGUCAGUCCUCAGGCAGCUCAGCUGUACAAGGUACUUAGGGCUGAUAGGCAACACUCAUUGUGCGGUUAAUCAGUGACAGAGAAUUAAAUUGUACAUAUUAAAAGCCAAUUAUAUAAUAA